rfam:Myotis brandtii contig181225, whole genome shotgun sequence.
ACCCUGGAAUCAGGCUCCCUCCUCUCUGGUUUUGGGUACAUCACCUGAGAACCACA